rnacentral:rRNA from 1 species
GAUCAUGGCUCAGAUUGAACGCUGGUGGCAUGCUUAACACAUGCAAGUCGAACGGUAACAGGUCUUCGGAUGCUGACGAGUGGCGGACGGGUGAGUAACGCGUAGGAAUCUGCCCAUUUGAGGGGGAUACCAGUUGGAAACGACUGUUAAUACCGCAUAAUAUCUGUGGAUUAAAGGUGGCUUAGGCUGCCGCAGAUGGAUGAGCCUGCGUUGGAUUAGCUAGUUGGUGGGGUAAGGGCCUACCAAGGCUACGAUCCAUAGCUGAUUUGAGAGGAUGAUCAGCCACAUUGGGACUGAGACACGGCCCAAACUCCUACGGGAGGCAGCAGUGGGGAAUAUUGGACAAUGGGGGAAACCCGUGAUCCAGCAAUGCCAUGUGUGUGAAGAAGGCUCUAGGGUUGUAAAGCACUUUAGUUGGGGAGGAAAGCCUAUGAGUUAAUAGCUUGUAGGAAGGACGUUACCCAAAGAAUAAGGACCGGCUAACUCCGUG